rnacentral:rRNA from 1 species
AGCUUGCUGCUUUGCUGACGAGUGGCGGACGGGUGAGUAAUGUCUGGGAAACUGCCUGAUGGAGGGGGAUAACUACUGGAAACGGUAGCUAAUACCGCAUAACGUCGCAAGACCAAAGAGGGGGACCUUCGGGCCUCUUGCCAUCAGAUGUGCCCAGAUGGGAUUAGCUAGUAGGUGGGGUAACGGCUCACCUAGGCGACGAUCCCUAGCUGGUCUGAGAGGAUGACCAGCCACACUGGAACUGAGACACGGUCCAGACUCC